UACGGAGGAUCCGAGCGUUAUCCGGAUUUAUUGGGUUUAAAGGGUGCGUAGGCGGCCUAUUAAGUCAGGGGUGAAAGACGGUAGCUUAACUAUCGCAGUGCCUUUGAUACUGAUAGGCUUGAAUGUACUUGAGGUAGGCGGAAUGUGACAAGUAGCGGUGAAAUGCAUAGAUAUCGCUUGGAACGCCAAAGGUGAAAACAGGUUGCUGGGGUUGUGCCGACGCUGAGACACGAAAGCCAGGGGAGCAAACGGG
rnacentral:rRNA from 1 species